rnacentral:lncRNA from 1 species
AACAAAGAGCCACAGCAGACCAACAUGGAAAACAAGGCUCGCAGCAACACACCAUCGGAAAAAAAAGGAGCAGCUUCCUCUUCACCCCGAAACAACAACAGCUACCUAUCGGUUACUAGGUAUUUUAUUUUAUUCAAGACCAUUUGAUUCCUACAAGUAUUCUUUGAAUAUGUUUUAAUUUAAAUGACAUAAGUUUGUUUUACUAAAAAUAAAUAAAUGUUACCAAUUGAAUAGAAUGUAAUUAAUUUAUUUACUUGAUUAAAAAAAGUGAGAACUUCAUUUCUUGAAGAAGAUGAUUAUCUAAAAAUAAAAGAAGUAAAAUGCUCAUACCUUGUGCCUGGACCCGAAUGUUGGAAAGCAAAACAAGUGACAAGAUUGCAAGAACAGUUUUAGUAAUUCUCAAAGAUGACAGAAUCUCCAUUUUCUCCAUCUAAGAAAACUUUGGAAGUUGAUAGAAAAAUGACAACUGUAUUGUUUGAGAUUUCUUCAACUCUUGAUAAAUACAGAUAUUGCUAUAUAUAGACUUUCUAACCAAAUAAACUUUUUUUACCAAUCCAACUACACAAUGUUACUAGUGUCAUUGUCAAGAGAAUUGUUGUUCCCACAUAUAGUAUGGCCGUACCACACGAGUAAAAUACGGAAAUGUCCUUCGGUAGUAAACUGCCGAAGUUUUUAGGAAACCGGCGGCAGUUAACUGCCGAGGAAAACCUCGGUAGUUAACUGCCGAGGAAAAUGUUUCAUCCGAUGAAACAACUACCUGCUCCCCCUACACACUAUUUUCUUCAUCACCUUCAUUUCCACCUCCAUUCAAUCCCAAAAUCCUUUUUUUUUUUAAUCAAUUUUUGAUCCAAAAUCAUUCAAGCAUCAAGCAUAGGAGGUAUCAACACACUAUUGACGUAAAAAAACAGGUAUUGUGCAUUUUAUUUGAUUGAUUUUUUGGGUGUUUUAGGGGUAUCUACGUCAGUUACAUAGAACCCUGUCAUGGGAAUCCUCAGCAGUUAACUGCCGAGGAAAACUUCGGCUGUUUAGUGCCGAGGAAAACCUCGGUAGUUUGGUACCGAGGAACUCUUGGUGAAAAAUUUCACCACGAAAAAAUGGCAGCUACUGCCAGAUUUUCAAAUUUUUUUUCUUUUGUUUUUUUUUUGUUUUAAUUCAUUAUGGCAUUGAUGUUUAUACAUUACUUAGUUGUUAAUUCAUAUUUAUGUGUUGUUUAAUUAUAGUAAUGGUAGAGAAUGCGAAAGAAGUUCCGGGAGAGACAAAACAAAAUUUUGUCGAAAAUUCUGGAGAUGUCAAACCGCCUAAUGUUGAAGCGAAAACAAACAUAGAUGGAGCUUCCGUCCAUGUUGAAGCUUCAAAGUAUGUUGGCGGCUCCGGUGUACUCCCACUUCAACCCCACGAGGUCGACACGGCUAAGUUUUUUCAGACGACGUUAAGUUGAAAAAUAGAGAUGAAUUGCUUGAGUGGGUGCGUCGACAAGCAAAUAAGGCGGGAUUUACAAUUGUCACACAAAGAUCAAGUUUGAUCAAUCCAAUGUUCCGGCUAGUGUGUGAAAGGAGUGGAACUCACAUAGUUCCGGAAAAAAAAAACCGAAGCAUGCGAGAACGGGCUAAAGAAAAUGCGGUUGCUUAUUCAUGAUUAGUGGAUAUCAAAGUAAGCAAACAAAGGAAUGGGGAUUGAACAUUCUUAAUGGAGUUCACAACCAUCCCAUGGAGCCGGCUUUAGAAGGACACAUUCUUGCAGGUAGAUUAAAGGAGGACGACAAGAAGAUUGUACGUGACUUGACAAAGAGCAAGAUGCUUCCAAGAAAUAUUUUGAUACAUUUGAAGAACCAAAGACCACAUUGCAUGACAAAUGUGAAGCAAGUGUACAAUGAACGUCAACAAAUAUGGAAGGCAAAUAGGGGUGACAAGAAGCCGUUGCAAUUUCUAAUCUCGAAGUUGGAGGAGCACAACUAUACUUAUUACUCAAGAACACAACUUGAAAGUAAUACUAUUGAAGAUAUUUUUUGGGCUCAUCCAACAUCCAUUAAGUUGUUUAACAAUUUUCCAACGGUUUUGGUUAUGGACUCCACGUACAAAACCAACAUGUAUAGGAUGCUAAUGUUUGAGGUAGUUGGGGUGACUUCAACCGAUUUGACAUAUUCGGUUGGGUUUGGAUUUAUGACACAUGAGAAAGAAGAAAACUUUGUUUGGGUUUUAAAAAUGUUGCGUAAACUUCUUUCGUCAAAGAUGAAUAUGCCUAAGGUGAUUGUUACCGAUAGGGAUAUGUCUUUGGUGAAAGCGGUUGCACAUGUUUUUCCGGAAAGUUAUGCAAUGAAUUGUUAUUUUCAUGUGCAAGCUAAUGUUAAACAAAGGUGUGUCUUGGAUUGUAAAUAUCCUUUGAGCUUUAAAAAGGAUGGGAAAGAGGUGAGCAAUCGCGAUGUGGUGAAGAAGAUAAUGAAGGCAUGGAAAGCUAUGGUUGAAUCGCCCACUCAACAGUUAUAUGCAAAUGCAUUAGUGGAGUUCAAAGAUUCAUGUAGUGAUUUCCCAAUUUUUGUAGAUUAUGCCAUGACCACCUUGAAUGAAGUGAAGGACAAAAUUGUGAGGGCAUGGACAGACCAUGUGUUGCAUCUUGGUUGCAGGACCACAAACAGGGUCGAAUCGGCCCAUGCUUUGUUGAAGAAAUACUUGGACAAUAGUGUGGGUGAUUUGGGUACUUGUUGGGAGAAAAUACAUGACAUGUUGUUGCUUCAGUUCACUGCUAUACAAACAUCCUUUGGUCAAAGCGUUUGCGUGUUGGAACAUAGAUUCAAAGAUGUCACUUUGUACUCGGGGUUAGGUGGUCAUGUGUUUAGAAAUGCUUUGGACAACAUUGCUUUGGAAGAGACACGUUGUAGGGAAACAUUGUGCAUGGACAAUGACAUUUGUGGUUGUGUUCAAAGGACAUCUUAUGGGCUACCAUGUGCAUGCGAAAUUGCUACUAAACUCUUUCAAGAGAAGCCAAUUUUAUUGGAUGAGAUAUACCACCAUUGGGUUAGGUUAUCUAUGGGUGAAGAAAGUAAUGAAGUUGCUUUUUGUGUCAAGGUUGAGUUGAAGGCUAUUGUAGAACGUCUAAAGAAACUCCCUUUCCAAAUGAAGCUUGAGGUCAAAGAGGGUUUGCGGCAGUUGGCAUUUCCUGAAACCACCUUGAUGUCUCCACCACCACGAAAAGUACCAACCAAGGGAGCAAAGAAAAAAGUCGACAUUGCGAGGUCUAAAGGAAAAAUUACAUCGACUAGUCGGAUCCCUUCUUCUUGGAAGGUUGUUGAUUCCCAAAAUCCGGAUAGCCAACCGUCACCAUCACCAACAACAUCAUCAUAUAAAAGGAAAAAAGGUGUUCGUCUUGGUAAAACAUCACUUUCCCCACUUCCACCACCUACUCGGUAUCCAAAGUCUAAGGCUAUCCCGGUUAUGCGUCCUAUUGAUUAUAUGACACGCUUCAUGCUUCCAUUUAUUGAAAAAGUGGUGGAUGUUAUCGGCGAUGGACAUUGCGGAUUCCGGGCUAUAGCCGAGUUCAUGGGCUUGACCGAAAAAAUCAUCUCAUGAUCCGUACACAUCUUAUUCAAGAGUUGAUGGAUCAUAGAGAUGAUUAUGUUGAAGUAUUUGCGGGUGAGGAUCGUUAUAACUACAUUUUAAACGGAUUACAUCCUCCCGCAAAUACAAAAACUUGUGCACAUCUUGUUGAUAAGUGGUUGAUUUUCCGGACAUGGGACACAUUGUUGCUAAUUAUUACAAAAUGUGUGUGGUGGUGUUGACAAAUCUUGAAGUUGGAAACUCGGAAUCUUUUUUCCCACUAAGAGGGCCACCACCGCCGGGUAAUCAAAAAACUCUCAUCUUGUGCCUUGGGGCAAUUCCAAAUCAUUUUGUGCUUAUUUCCUUGAAGAAUGGUUGUCCACUACCUCCAUCAUCUACGGAGUGGCACAAUCACAAGAAAGAAGAUGCGGUGACUUGGGAAGAUGAGUAUUUGGAUCAACAUGAGUUGUGUCCAAACCACAAAAGGAGUCAAACAAAGCGGCGCCUAUUUUGUUGGACACUCCCGAAAAACCAAAGCAACAAUUUGAAGUUAUUGCGGAAGAUGAGGAAGAUUCUAUGUCACUUGAUCUUCUCCAAUCACUUGGUCUUUAAUGAGUGAUUUUUUUGUCGGUGUUAUUUCUUUUUUUUGGUAGAAAUUACACCGACGUAUUUUUUGGGGUCGAAAUUGUAACGUCAAUUUUUUGUGGCCAAUAUAUAACUAACAUUAUGUAAUUUAUAUUGAUAUAUAUAUAUAUAUAUAUAUAUAUAUAUAUAUAUAUAUAUAUAUAUGAUAAUAUGACUUUUAUGUGGUGAAAAUAAUGCAAUACUUAUUUAUAGCUUUUUAAUGUUUACGCAUUUCAUUUAUUCGUUAUUACAUUCCAUUUAAUUUUGUUCUAAUAUAUGAUUCUUUUGUUAAAAAAAUUUCAAGUGAGACAUGUCUGAGGAUCUGAGGUUGCACAAAUUGAAGGGCGAGUUAGGUACUCCGCGUUUAGGACUCUCUUGACAAUUUGAAGGCACAACGUAAC